rnacentral:lncRNA from 1 species
ACUUCCGCUCGUCCGCCUAAUACCGCGCCUGCGCACCGCGUCUCUUCCUUUCUGGGCUCGGACCUAGGUCGCGGCGACAUGACCAAGAUGAAGAGACGAGCUGUGGGGAUCUGGCACUGUGGUUCCUGCAUGAAGACAGUGGCUGGCGGUGCCUGGACGUACAAGUGAGUCUAGUUCCUUGUGGUAUUUGGAAGUGUGUGGACCACAUAGGCCCAAAUUCCAGGUUGCUGCUGGAUGGGCUAGUUUUAACACUUUCUCAGGACUGAGAGAAUAAGGAUGCCUUUGUAUUUUCAGGAUUCUUCCGUGGUGGUUUAUUUUCAGUUAUUGAAAGAGUAAACACAAAACUACCAAAAUAGAAGUCGGAAAUCUAAUUCACAGACUACUUUAGAAUUUGAUGGUCACUGGGCACAUUGUUGUGAACAUUGUCAUGAUACUGUGCAGGUCCAUUAGUGGGGCUGAAUCUACUGAACGUUGAUUUGCACUGCAAGUUUUGAUAAAAAUAGGUGAAGGGGUCAGUUAGUUCAAAACUGUAUUUGGAACUUGAGGCCAUCAGGACCACCACAGUUUCGUCUUUCUGAACAGUAUUAGACUGCUGCAGGUUUGUGAAUCUGCAACUCAGUAUCACCUGACAGGGCGAUACUACAAACACUAUACUACAAACUAGCAUCUAGACCUGUGUUGUCCAAUACACUAAGCACAUAUAUGGCUAGUGUAAUUAAAGAAUUGGAUUUUAAAGUUUCAGUCAAUUUAAACUUAAACCGAAGCAGUGGAAAAUGUUGAAAUAUAUAUAUAUUCCUUGUGGGGGUUUUUAUUAGGGCAGAAUGGAAAAUGGGAACUAGAGUGCUUUCUUGGUUCUGAUAGGAAAGUGAAUUAUUUAUAUACUUACAAUACAGGAUGGUGAUUUUCAGGUAUAGUUCCUGAAUUUUAUGGUAAAACUUUUGUAGUCAUUUCAAUAGCUGUCUUUCCCAAAGGCACUUUAGUGUCCGCUCUUAUUUCCUUAAUCAUUGUUCUCACUGUAUCAUCUUGUAAUUUAUUCAUUUCUUGUAAUCUGUCCAUUCCCUUUUAAUAAGUUUAGGUCAGCCUCUUAGAACCAUUUCUUUUUCAUGGGAUGGGGUAGGGGGAGUUAAAGCUUGCUUGUCCACAACUGAGUUACUUAUAAAAAAAAAAGCAACUCUGGUUGAGAAAUCAGAUGCAUGAGAUUGUAUGUCUAAUUCUGCAAGAUCCUGAAGGCAUGGCUCUUAAAGGAUGCCAUCAUGUAGUUUAGAAGCCACUAAUUUCCGAGGAGUAAUCUAAUGUUGGUUAGAUCUUUGGAUUGACUGCAGCAAAGUAUUGGUAGAGCAGUCUAUCUCAGUAUAAUUCUUUCUAGGAAAAUUUGGGAAGCGACUUUAACACAAAAACGAGGCAGAUUUACUUAUUUGCCAUUUUCUAUGUUAACAUGCUUAAUUAUGUUGGAAACUGAAUCUUUCUUUCCAGUACCACUUCCGCUGUCACGGUAAAGUCCGCCAUCAGAAGACUGAAGGAGUUGAAAGACCAGUAGACGCUCCUCUACUCUUUGAGACAUCACUGGCCUAUAAUAAAUGGGUUAAUUUAUGUAAC